rnacentral:rRNA from 1 species
GACGAACGCUGGCGGCGUGCUUAACACAUGCAAGUCGAACGAUGAUGCUGGAGCUUGCUCCAGUUGAUUAGUGGCGAACGGGUGAGUAACACGUGAGCAAUCUGCCCUUGACUCUGGGAUAACUGCGGGAAACUGUAGCUAAUACCGGAUACUUUCACCGGAAGGCAUCUUCUGGCGAUGAAAGAAUUUCGGUCAGGGAUGAGCUCGCGGCCUAUCAGCUUGUUGGGGAGGUAACGGCGCACCAAGGCGACGACGGGUAACCGGCCUGAGAGGGUGACCGGUCACACUGGGACUGAGACACGGCCCAGACUCCUACGGGAGGCAGCAGUGGGGAAUAUUGCACAAUGGGCGCAAGCCUGAUGCAGCAACGCCGCGUGAGGGAUGAAGGCCUUCGGGUUGUAAACCUCUUUUAGCAGGGAAGAAGCGAAAGUGACGGUACCUGCAGAAAAAGCACCGGCUAACUACGUGCCAGCCGCCGCAGUAA